GCCAGAGUGGUGUAGUGGUUUGAGUGUUGGACUAAGACUCUGGAGUCCAGGGUUCAAUUACCAGCUUGGCCA